CGCAUCUUUCCAUCUCAUCAACAAUGUGCCUACAAAACAUGAAUAUUAGUCCAUUCAAUCACAAUUAUGUCUCAUUUAUUCAUUCAAAACAUGGUAAUGUGCAUGAAUGUUGAGUGAAAAUGAGUGGUAAAAUCACCUCCUAUCAACACCCGCAACUUAAAGCUUUGCUUUUCACAAAAAACACUACCCCAUAUCACGAGACAUUACACUUUUAUGCCCAAUUUUCAUGACUCAAAGAUCACAAUAACUUCAAGCUUAUUCACUACCACAAGUAGCUCAUUGCACAUGGGGUAAGCUAUUCUUACUAUACCCCUCAUCAUAAAAUGUAAUAUCUAGGGAUGCAUAAGACUUUAAAGAGCAACCAAGCUACAACAACCAAUACUCUAGUGACUCACUUUUGACCAAAACUAAGCUAUACUCCAUUUACCUCAUUGCUCGAAAGAUGACAAAAUCACCUACCUCAACUCGUUCACAUGCCUCCUCACAAGAAAGAAAAUUCCACAAACCAAGCUACCAAAUAUGCAAUAAGGAAUUUAAGUGCAAAAACUCUCUCACACAAAAGAGCUCUCUAUGUCAACAAGUGUCAUAGGCUUUCACUUAUUUUCAAUCACCACUAUAGAGAAAUUAAAUGGUUGAAGAUCUUUGAGCUCGUAAUGUAGGUUCAGGUUAGGGUAGGAUAUCAUUUGGGAACAACAUGGCUACACCCUUCCUUGAACAUCAACAUCACACUAUUUAAUCCGCCUUUUUGACUAUGGGUCACUCCUCUUUGAUCCUUUCUCUUUUCAUGCCUACUUUUUGCUUCCUUUGUUUACCCAUUUUCUUCUAUUUCUUUUUCUUGCAAUUUUCAUGCAAUUUAUUUCUUUGUUGGAACCAUUCUUUUUCUAUUUAUUUGUUUUCAAUUCUUAGCACUUAGGCAUUUCACUUACAACUUCUUGGCCCCAUACUUACUUCCAUCAAACUUCACCACCCUUAACUUAGGAUUUUAGCCUCAAGUUGCAUUUUCAAGUUCAAGGAGGGUAUAGUUCAAAAGAAGGAUAGAACGAAUGGUUCACGACUUGUAAUGUGUUUGCCAAAUAAAGGUCUAAAGGCUAAAAGUGGGUAAUUAGGGAUACCAUUUAUUUAUGGAUAGUUUUUUUAGGAUAAAGUGGGUGUCCAAUGUAACAAUAAUGGCCUAACAUCCUUUCUCCAACCAAAUAUAAUCAAAAUUAGCUCUGAGAGACGAACGAGGCAAGUUCCAGAUAACACAAGUAUACAAGAGAUGAAAGCAAAUAGCUCACCACAUAUGGCAUGCAAAAUUCUCAAAGGAGGCUCAAUUGCCCAUCUUGUUAGAGACAAAAUUGGAGUAUCUAUCACUAUUAACAAGUCAAACAUUUAUAGAGUCACAAAAAGAGAAAUAGUUUUAUUAAAAGGUUGAUCACAUCCAUACCCUUGAUUUUUAAAAAAAAAAUUGGACGGAGGGGGUUGUUUUUUUGCAUUUGUACCACACUCAAUUUGCUAACUUACAGCUACAACCAAAGCUUUAGCCACACAUUUUAGCUUAAUAUGGGAAAACCAACCAUAUGUCUACUCAGACUUUGUCAAUGGUGCAUAAUGGGAUACUAAAUUUACAAUGCCAUAGGUACUCAGACUUCCCUUGCAUUAAUGAUUUAGAUGCCACGAGUACUCAGAAUUCCUCUAAAAACCCAAACACGAUGCUUUACCCUUAAUAAUGUCAUCACUCAAUCUAUUAUAGGACAACGCUCAUCACACAUCAUCAUAAUCAAAAUAAAAUAAAAGUAAAAAGAAAAACUAAAAAUAAAACUACAUAAAAAUCUAUAAAAAUAUGGGCUCCGUCAGAAUGCCCAAAUAUAGCAUCCCAAAACAAAAUAAAAAUAAUAUCCACAUUGUCAUCACAACAACAUAACAUAUCAAACCAAUACAAAUAGGGAAAGGCACCCCUUAUAGAAAGGCAAGCAGUAUCCCCACUGCAUAAUCAAUAAAAUAGACAAAACAUAAGGGUCCUUCCCGAAUCAGCAUUAGGAGAUGCUCUCUCCUGCUGACUCUGCACCAUCACCACUAGCAUCAUCAGUUGACCAAUCCAUAGGGGCCUCAUCAUCACUCUUCAACCUAGGUAAAGGUAGUCGAUCAUUGGGUUUGAGCACCUUGAAGAUACCCUUUACCCCUUUCCACAACUUUCUGAAGAAUUUAUCUUUCUUUUUCUCUCUCUUCACUAUUUUAUCAUACAACUCCUUAAGGUCCCUAUGUGAUACAGCCAAGGCUAAAUAAUCUCUCUCCAAGCUGGCAAUUGUGGCUCCUUGAUUCUUCUACUUUUUUGGUUAAUCUCAUAAUCUGGCUGAGCAACAUAUGAAUGGCGACUAUUGGAGGGUUCUCUCGGUCCCUAAGGCAAUCUGGACAAUAGCUCCCUAACCACCCGCAUAUGACUUAAGAUGUCAUUGAAGGGGUUGGCUGACGAAGGUCUACAAGAGUAUGUGUCCUCCUGGAUCGAUUUUCCUAAGUCCACCUUCUUUUUCUUACUUUGACUAGGGGCACCCUCACCUCAAAAUUUGAGUGAGAAGAUGUGGGUGCCUGGGUGCCCAGGUACCUACAGAAUACUCCUCCACCUCUGCCCUCUUGCAAAGCCCAGUGAUAAGGAAAGGAAAGAGAAUAAGUGUACCUCUCUGGCUCAUAUGAUUAUGCCUAAUGCUCAUUAGCAUAGUAGGGUUCUGGGGCAAAACACAUCUACCCGGUAGCUGUGAGUUUGGCAUGGAAUCUUGGGAGUUUUUCGUCCACUUUAUCUAGGAAAAUAUCUCUUUUUGGGAGUAAUUUCAUCCUAGAUAGAUCAACAUAAUAGAGGUUUUGGUAUUUAGCAGACAUAAAUCUGGUAUUGUCAAAGUCUCCUAUCUUUGCCACCUAGUACCUGUAAGUAAUACAAUCCAGACCAUCACUAGCAUGUCACACCAAAAUCAUGCUAGAUUAAUCAGAUGAACUUAUAUGGUAGUGUUAUAGAAGGUUUUGGGGGUGAGAAAUGGGUGUGCCGAAAUUUUGGUUUCUGCAGACAACUGCCAAGUAUGGAAAUCACAGAGCAAUGUCUGUGAUCAUAGUAACGCAAUCGCGGUCAUCGGGACCGCAAUCGCUGUACCUAAGAUCAUAGUCAAUAGUUCUGUACAUCACUUAAAAAACAUAAUUUUAACCCUAAAUUUGUGUUCCAACUAGGCACGUCAACAUCAUAAUCAGAGAAAUUAAGCUUAGAAUGCAUGAUUAUAGCCCCAAACUCGAAAGAAUUCAUACUGAACUCAUUGGGGAAUUGAAUCGAACACAUGGAGUACACACUAAGUUCUAUAGUUUUAGGCCUAAAUUUGGAUACUCAAGACUUCCCCAUUGGUAUGUACACCAACUACAACAGCUAACAACCACAAUACUCAUAAAUAAGCAUUCAUUUUGUAUUGAAAAUAAUACUUCAAACCUUUCCCUAAACUACAAGCUCUAAGCAUAAAAUUAUACUAAAAUUAAGGGAGUUGAGAGAACAUACCAAAAUAGAGGAUACAAAGGAUUGAGAUGAACACCUGGAUACUCUAUAAAAUGUUAAAAAAUUUGAGAGAAUUUGAGAAAGGUGUGUGUGAAUAAAUGGCAGUUGAAUGGUCAUUUAAGCUAAUUAAACCGCGAUCGUGGUCCUAGUUCUGUGAUCACUGCCACGCAGCCUCCAUGAUUGUGGAGGCACAAACUGUGCCCUUGGUAAUUGAGACCAAAAAUUAGGUCUCCUGCACUUCUCUGUUUAGUCCUAACAUGCUAAUUUCACAGUUUUCUUUUUCGAUUUCAAUCAAAAUUCCUCAUAGCACUACCUUUUCAUUGAUUAUACAUGAACAAAUAUAAAAAUAAAAUCUAUUCUAUCAUGCAUAAAAUAAAAGAAUAUAGGCCACUUUUCGUGGCUUGAUGGGGUCCUCUCAUUGAGCGCUUAGUUUAACGUUUUGCCAUGAAGCCUCCUCCACUUCCUUUUGUGCUUCCACUUAGAAGAUUUAAAUAUCCAUCCCAAUUUUCAUUCACUAUGCAAUGAGCAAUAAAGGUACAAAAUAUUUAGAUCUUCUAAGAUAAAACUUGGAAGAUGUGAGGAAGUAAUAAGGGAGCUUCUAUCUCUAUUUUGAGGGCUUGAACCUUUUACCCAAUUUCACAUCAAAUUUUUGAUUUGGAUCCUUGGGUAAAGAUGAGAACAUCAAUAGGACACAAGGUAUACAUCAGUAGUUGAGGUCCUUGGCCAUUGAUGGUAGGGCUUCCAUGUGCUCUUUUAGAGUGUCAAAUCCCAAAAUAUAGUAUCCCAAAAUGUAGGAAUAGUUCUCCUUCUCCCCAUAAUCCAUCAUUUACCUAGGUGGAUGGAUUCUCAUCACAUCCUCUAAGAAUAAUGUUGAGAAGUGUUUUGAAUGAGGCCUAACCCCUAAUUCUGGGGUUGCCUCCUUCGAAGCACCUUUACCCCAAAAUGAACUAGAGUUAUCAUAAGAGAUGUGCUUUGGUUCUUCUCUUGACUCUAGUAUUAUUUCCUUUAUUUUGAAAUCAUCAACAUUAUUUGAUUCGGUUGAUUGGGAAAUCACCGAGGAUUCUUCGCUGCCAAGAUCAUCAUCAUAGCUUGGUUUGUCUUUUUUAUUAAUCUUCUCUGGGAAAUGGGCAAAGUAGUGGUAUUUGCAAGUUCUGGUUCCUUUUCCAUUUCCUCCAUCUUGAUAAUUUCCCUUCCAAAUGCCUCAUAGAAUUGAUGCAUGUCUUGCACAUUCUCCCCCGUUGUAGUUACCCGUUCCAAACUAGUUUGAAGCAUUGCUUCAAAACUAUUAUACCUGGUAUAUUGCUCUUCCUUCUUCUCAUCAUAAUACCUAUCAAACUCAUAACAAGAACUAGAAACUCAGAUAGCAUAAUAAGGGGAGGAAGAAUUUGGAUAAUCACUCCAAUGUCCAUCUCGACCACAACAUAAAUAACAGCCAUACUUCUAAUAGGAUCGAGAUGGUAAUUUCAUCUCUCUCCGGGGAGCAUAUUUACAAUAUCUUCCAAAGUGGGUUCCAUCACAAUAUGAACAUAGAUCGUCAAGAUAGGACUUCCAACUACCAAAAUCAUAUUUGUCAGAAGAUGACAUAGAGAAAAGUAAAACAAAACAAAAAUCUACCUAACACAAGAAAUAAAAGAAAAUCACAAAAAAUAUUUACAAUUUUGAAUUCAAGCAAGUAAGCGAGAAUUCCGAACUAACUUAAUAUGCCAAAUUAUUCUCCAAUAAUGGCAUCAUUUUUUACAACGCUCAACUUACACGUCAAUUUAAGUUCAAGGCAAUCGUCGUUAAUAUAUAUACCCAACUUUGGAGUCAGGGUAGAAUCCAUGAGGAACAAUGUGAGUAGCGACUAAAUUAGUUCAAAAUUAUAGAUACUAGCUAAACUCAAACCAAUAGUACAAAAAGAUAAAAAUGGGGGGUUUGAAAGGUAUCACAUUUAAUAUUUCUUUUUGGUUUUUUUGAGUACAUUGGGGAUACGAAUACUUAGAGUCUAAAUAAUUAGGCACGGAUCUUGGGAUUAUGCUUUCUUAGGGGUAAAAUAUGAGUGGAGACAUAAUAAUUUGAUGCAUGUUCUAAUUGAUGAUGAUGUGGUAGGCUAGGUUAUAAGUACCUGGUGCUAGUUUGUCAACAUAGCCUCAAAUAUUUCACUCAUUGACUCUUUUGAGUAUCUAAUGAUUGUCUUAAACAAAGUUACCCAAUACCUUAAUUAGGCAUCCCUAUUUCUAGGAUGAUACCCAAGGAAUAGUCAACUUCACAAUCACUCUUAUGUCUAAGUGAAAAUUUAGCAAACUAGGCCAACAAUUAUCUACUAUUGCUUUGGUUCCUACAUUCCUUUUUAUAAGGAUGAUAUUGGUUCCUAAUAUUCUCUCAAACUCUUCUUUCAAAGAUAGAUUGAGCUUUCAAUAGCUUAGGCUUUUCACCUACAAACCCAUUUAAGUAUUUGGGGUUUUCACCCAUAAAUCCCAACCAAUUUUAUCAAGCAACAAUAGAAACCAUCAAUCAACACAUGAAUAUAUACACAAAUAAAUCGCAACCCAUAUGCAAUUGCACCCUAUUCUAGCAUAAUCCCAAGAGGAAAACUAGCUACUCAUAAGAUAAAUAAGUAAAGAUUUUACCCAAAAUAUCCAUUGAUUUGAUUUGAGAAAAUCUUAAUUGAAUGUUACUUCAAACUAUGAGAUCCAACAAACCUUCAAUGGGAGUUCACUAAUUCUUUACUUGGAAGUGACUCCAAAGUAUUUUUCACCUAAAAUUUAUACAAUAUUGUGAAACAUCCUGGGUUUUUACCUUUAGAAAAUUUCCUGGAAAUUCAUUCUUCGGACCUAAUAUGACUCAUGGGUUUGAGCCGUAUGUUGGGGUAUGAGUGGUAUAGUCCUAUCGUAUGCUAACCAGUGUUAGUUGGUGGGAUGAUUUUGGUCACUGGAAUAGGUACGACUUAGGGGUAUGAGUUGUAAGGAUUGAUACAAUUCGUAUCAAGGAUUCGUAUGGUAGGUAGUAUUUGAUCCUCUUGGCAUUUCAUUCUUCCAGGGAGAUAGGUCAAAUGUAUGGAUCGUAUACUGUAGUGACAACUUGGUUGAAUGAGUCGUAUACUGGACAUUUUUUAAUCCUAGAGUUGAGGCUUAGACAUGAGUGGGGGAUAUUAAUCGUAUAGGAGGGUAUGACUCAUGAGUGUCAGUCGUAUUCCUGUGUUGGAAUUUUUGUGUAACUUAAGUGAAGGUGUUCUGGAUAUUUCCCUACUUACCCUAAUUUGGGCUCACGACUUCUAAUACACUAAGGAGGUUAUUUAUCCUAUUAUUAUAUACAUUAACACUUAGAAACUAUUCCAAAACAUCUUAUAAUUUUCUUAAGAGAUUUUGGGGCAAGAAGGCUAGGUUUCAUCUUACAAAUUACUUUGGGGCAUGCCUUAGUGUUUUGUUUCCAUCAAUUCUUCGGUAUAAGGCAUGAUUCUCUUCCCUCAUUGUAAUUUAGAACUAAAGGCAUGAUUUAUAUGAUUGAUUUCAUGGUUUUACUAUUUCAUGAUUAUGGUUUCUAAUUAUUAUUUGGGGGUUUUGAUAUUAACUGCUUGAUUAUGGUUUUCUAUGGUUUAAAUAUGCUUUUUAUAUGCAUUAAUGAUGGUUUUGAACAAUUAGAUUGCAUUGUAAUGGUUUAAUGGUUUUUGGAAUUGGGUUUGGUUUUAUUAUUCCCCCAAGAUGCUUGAUGAAAUGCUUGUAAAGAUAUGUUUAUUGUAUUGAGUUCUUUUAAUGGAACUCUUGCAUGUUUUAAACUGGAUAAAGGAGUUAUGCAUGGAUUAAAUGGUUUAAAAAGUCUAAAGGCUAAAUGAUUAUGCUUGUGGAGAACAUGGAAGUCUCCUAAGUGGAUUGAAUAUGUAAAUUAGAAGGGCACCUAAAGUCCCCUAACCUAAAUGGUUUGGCUAUGGAUAUUACUUGCAAGUAAUGGGAUGGUAUGACGAUAUCACUAAUAUUGGACUUGGUAAAUAAAUGAUAAAUGAAUUGUUUAGACAUGGUUUUAAUUGGGCAUUAAUGGUUGGAAAUGUAGCUAAGCCAUGGAAGAUGGUGGUCCCGGGGGGACCAAAAUUGGAAACUCAUAGUUACCGAUAUGAGGGAUCCUUGAUGACCACGUGUGAGUGUCACAUUUUAUAUUAGAGGGAUGCACUAGUCAUCCCAUGGGAUAUUUCAUGUUCAUGCGGCUACACGCACUGGGACCCUUUCAGUAGGGGAAGAUAAACCCAUAUCGCCCAUGGGUGGUUAGGACGACAAAGCUACAUAACCCAGGUAAAGGUUUUAAAUGUAUGGUAAAUCCGAUUCCCUUUCCCGGCACUUAGAUAUGUACAAUUGUAUGCAUUAUGGAUGGUUUUAAUUGGUUUUAUGACUGGAAUUAUUUUAUCCUUAUCUUAGGUUUCAUGCUAGCAGUCAUUCUCUAACCCCAUCUACUGGUUGUUGUAUACCUACACUAUGCAGGAAUCGACUAUUCUACCCCUCCUAUUUAGCACGUAGAUUUGGUAUCAGUAUUUGGACUAAAGUGGCGAGCUUUUAUCCUUUUGGGAAGGCAUCAUUUCAAGUUAUGGAUUUAUUUAGACAUUUUUCUUUUACUUUGGAUAUUUGUUUUGGCCAUGGUUGGGGGCAUGCCCCAAUCGGAUUUGUUUACUCUUUUGGAUAGAGGUUUUGUGGUACUUGUGGGGAUUGGUAUGGGCGGGAUCGGUAGAAGUGUCAGCCUUAGCAUUGGUAUUAAUAUUGAGGUUGGCAUCAUCGGACAUGAGUUUAUACUGUUCCAUCAUAUUAUAUUUUGGGAUUGAUUUUCAUAUUGUGUUUUGGUAUUCCCUUUUGGCUUACAGUUUAUGGUUUGGUUUAGUAUGGUUGGGCGGUUGUUGCGGUAUGGUUGGACUUGGUUGGGUCAGUCAUAAUUGUGACCCUAUCCCAGAGUCUUAAUGAGAACAAUAACACUAUCUUGUCAUAUGUUUGAAAUUCAUCCCAUCUAAGGCUAGACAUAGGUGGUUGGGUUGGGUAACGGGGGCGGUCUCCGAUCCUGGUUAGACUUGAGAUGCCCACUACGACAAGGCCCACGGUCGGUUCGGGUCCUGUUGUCUCCUCUAAAAAUGGAGGCUAUAACCCUAGAACAAUGUCUAAAAGUUGGAAAGUAUAAAAUAUAGAAUGAUUAGGGUUUAAUUCUUCCUUUUGUCAAAUUUGGGAUCAGCCGCGUGCAACAAUAUUUCUGCCCUUAGACUGUAUUUUUUUGCUAGACCGUGAUCGCAUAGGCUUUGCCGCAAUCGUGGCUACUACAACUGUGAUUAGCUCACCGACCAUGGUAGGUUGACCUUAUUGAUUGACCACGAUCGUAGUCCUCAGACCAUGAUUGCAGUAACUGAGGCCAUUCUGCUCCAAGUCUUUAGUUGCACCUUCUUGUUUGCUUUUGAUCUUUUUUAGCUCCAAUCCGCAUCUUUCCUUCUCAUAAAAAUGUGCCUACAAAAUGCAGAUAUUAGUGCAUUCAAUCAUAAUUAUGUCUCAUUUAUUCAUUCAAAACAUGGUAAUAUGUAUGAAUGUUGAGUGUAAAUGAGUGGUAAAAUCACCACUCAUCAGAUAUGACUUCAUAUACCAUACCGGGGGUUGAUCAGGAGGAAUUAAGACUGAGGUUGUUCGCUUUCUCACUUACAGGUGAAUCAUCUUUAUGGUUAGGGAAACUUCCAAGGGGAUCUAUCACUACGUGGAAAGAGUUGCACAGACAAUUCUAAAAUAGGUUCUUUCCUCCAUCUAGGGUGUUGCAUCUCAAAGGAGAGAUCUAUAAUUUCAGGCACUGUAGUCUGAGCCCAUGUAUGAGGCUCAGUUCAGGUUCAGAAGAAGCUAAGUAUAGUGCCCAACCAUCAGAUUUUAGGGACGAACUUAAUGGACUUAUUCUAUAGAGACCUGACCAUCAGUUCUAGAGUUGUGGUAGAUACUAUCUCUGGAAGAGCUUUUAUGAUAUUAUGUUUGGAGGUAGCUUCUAAUAUUCUCGACUAAAUCUCUCUCACUAAUCCAGGGUGGUAAACUUGGGAGCCAAAGAGAGGUUUUGGCACUUACGCUAUCAGAGUUAUUAGUGACCAGAGAGUAGCAGAUGAAUCUAUAGCGCAAGAGAUUGCAAUGCUAAAGACUGAUAUGGGUGUACUGGCAAAGUAGUUUGUAACCGUUAAUUCCAAAAAAGUUCAUAUAGUAGGAGCAUAGGGUACAACUUUUAGAGAUUAUGAGUCUAGAUUAUAAGAGGAGGCUAGAUAUUUGGAUCGUCGGUUAGAGGGUUUCCAAGCCCAAGAGCAAGGAAACCAAGGUCGGGACUGCUAUGAUGAUAUAUAUAGAGACAACAAUAGGGAUAAAGAUGGUGAAUGGAUACAGAGAGAUAAUUAUAGAGAAAAAAAAGACAGGUACAUUCCGCCUGGCAGACAAGAUAUGUAAUCAAGAAUGGAAGAACUACGGAUCAAACUGGUGAAAGGUCAAGAAAAUUAGGAGAACAACCUUAAGGAAAUUAAGGCUGAAAUUCAGUGUUGACCCAGAAGGUGGAGUCUCAUGCCAUUGCUAGUAAGGAGUUGGAGUAACAGUUUGGGAAAAUAUCUGCUAUGAUCAAACAGAAAUAGUUUGUUACUCUUUCGAGUGAAAAAUUUCAGAGUCCACUAGCUAUAAGUCAUUGUCUAGCUAUCACCACUAGUUGUGAUUCCACUACUGAUGAUCCCCCUGUACCUGUUAUUAAAGAGUUAAAGAUUGAUAGCACUGAAAGCAAUGAGAUACCUGAGGCAGUGUCUAAGAAGUCGACAUAUGGUGAUGAUGAUUUUGAGUAUAAUAGUGGUGAGGAUUGGGUCGGCAAGCCUAAUGAUUAUGUGCACCCUUAUAGUGUGACCCCUUCCUUACCGUUAGUAUAAAAGAAGGAGGAUCCCAAAGCAGUCAUCAUUUCAUGUUCUAUUGGUCCUUUUAGUAUCAAGCAGACUUUAUGUGACUUGGGUUCAUGAGUAAAUAUAAUGCCACAGAGUGUGUACAAGCUAUUGAGGAUGGGGGAACUAAAACCUAUGUCCAUAAAAUUAUUGAUGGUUGACUCAUCUAUGAAGAAACCGAUGGGUGUUUAGUGUGAUGUAGAAGUAAGGAUUGCAUCCCUUAUGUUCCCUGCUGAUUUCAUGGUUCUUGAUUGUGAGGUGAAUUCUCAAGCCCUUAUUAUAUUGAGUAGACCCUUUCUAUCCACUGGUAGGGUAUUGAUUGAUAUGGACUUGGGGUAAAACACCUUCAAAUAGAAUGAUGAGCAAGCAGUAUUUGAUGUAUGUAUGGUUGUGUAGCAGUAAGAUGAUAUUCGAGUGGUGUCUGUAAUAGAUACUAUUGAUGAGAAUAGUGCUAUAGAGGCUAUUGUACCUAAUACACUAGGUUUUGAUAAGCGACAUAGGGAAGAUAGGUUUGUAGAGGUUGAGUCAGUGAAGUUAGAAGAUAUUAGGGAGAAAGUGGACCUACUUAGAGCAGAGGUGUGCUCUCUCAAUGAGAGCCACAUAUUAGCUAUCCCUCCAAUUGUAUCCCCAAGUAUUCAUCCAUUACUUUUCUGUGUUCCCAGACACGUUGAUUUAUCUACAAAGAAUGAUAUGGUGGUCCCCGUAGCUAGGACCAAGAGAGGACAAGUGAGGGAAUUACAGAAUCCAAAUAGGCAAUACGAGCAAGCCUUGGAAAGGGACAUCCAUGAUUCGAUAGAGAAUAUAUUUAUUGAUAGGCAGAGGCUUGCCGAGCUAGCUGCAGGUGCAUCUUCUUAGAGUGAACUGCCAUCACCAUGGCCUCCGUCUGUUGAUAUACCCCCAUCUGGGGAAGAUCAUGACACGUACGCUUAGUGCGUCCCAGGUAUGUUCUCACUUCCCUCUAUUUUAUUUUGAUGCAUUAAGGACAAUAUGCAGUUUUUAGUUGGGGGUGGGCAUACCAUGCCACCACGGGUUUUUGUUGUCAUGCUUCUUUUCUUGAUAGCACGGUAUGAUUGUAGAACUAACAUGUCUAGGUUAAUUUUGUGUCAUAUUGUAUUUUAUUUCGUAUUGUGUUGUUUUUGUGUAAUUAGAAGAUUUUUAAGCAUUUAUAGCAGUAGUCACAUUUUGAUUGAUUUUUGAUACCCCUUCAAAAUUUUAUGUUUUAGAAUCGUGUGGAUGUAUAUAUUUGUGAACAUUGUGGAUCUUGUUAUGGCAUUAGAAUUAGGAACAUGAUAAUCACUUGCUAAAGAUUACAUGAACUAAAUAGGUAGUAGUGGGUAAUAUUGACUUUGUGUCAUGUGUGUGUGAAAUACUACCUAGUUCUCUUUAUGUGUUAAAUUCAGAAUUGUCUGGUUAGUUUUGCCUAGGUUGAAGGAUAGUCGGUUAGGAAAGGAUCAUAGACCGUUUUAUAUUUCAGUCCACUUUUAACCUAAAUGACCUUCUAUGUGUGCAUUAUAUCCAUUGGUCCCUAUUUUGAGACUUAUAGCCUAUUUUUCUUGUUUUACCUAUUCACCUUUCCAUUUGUAUUAUAAUGAACCAGUUUUGGCCCUGAUCCUCCUUGGACAUUGUGCACCUUAACUCACGCAAAAAGCCUAAGUUAAGGGCGGCUAUCAUAGGGGUACGUAGUGUAAAAUGGGUAUGAGGAAGGGUAACAUAAGAGAAAAAUUUAGUAGGGUUGGGUGUGGUAGUAAAAGAAAAGAAAAAAAUUGUGAAAAAGAAAGAAUAAAAGACCACACCCAACCUGAAUGUACAAUAAAAGAAUAAAAAAGAGAAAUAAGGAUGGAAUAAAAAGGUAAUUGGCCAUUAAGUGAGACCCCAAACCUACAUUACAAGCUGAGAAAAGACCUAUAGUGAUCCUAACUUGACUAUCUGAAUGUUAAGGUAAAGAAAAUAAGGGCAAGCCUAUGGUAUUUGACAUGCAUUGAUUGGAACUUCUCUUUUGAGUGUGAGUGUAUCUUGACCGUCCCUGCAUUGAUAUACAUUAUUUCAUAUGAGUGAGUGAGACAUCUUUUUUGUGAGGGCUAUUAAGUCAUGUUGCUAGCUAUUUGCCUGUUUCGGAUAGUAUAAUUUGUACAUAUGAGUGGUUGUCUGUAGCUAAUAUAAUUGCCAUACCUUGAUCCCAUUGUGUCAUAUUGUAAUGCUUCAUGUUCAUACACAGUUGGCUUUGAAAAAGAGACAUAGGAGGGGAUAUUUUGAUUUGAACUUAAUACGAUGACUGCCUGCCUUGAGUAUCUUAGAUUCUCCUAGUUAAGCGUCAUUUUUGUUUUGUUGUCGUUUUGUUGUCUGAGGACAUGCAAAUGUUCUAAGUUGAGGGUGUUGAUGUGCUAUAGAAAUGUAGCACUUUUAACGCUUAAAAUAAGGAAAAUAUGCAAGUUUCUGAAGCUUUUUUGUUAGAUUUGAUCUAUUUUGGGUAUAUUUUGCAGAAAAUGAGGUUUUGGAUGAUACGUUUGGGAAAAUGGUGAAAAAAGGUAGUUUUGGCUACUUUUGGAGUGAUUAUUGAUAUGUGGGAUGUUUUCCAGCUUGAUCGUGAUCAAAGAAUGUUCGAGAAUUGAAGAAGAGCUGAAAAACUAAUUCCCGACACCUACUAAGUUAGCUCACGGACAGCAGGUACACAAAGUGGGUACCAGAAGUCCAAAAUCCCGAGAGCUGAGCAUUAUAGGAUUUUUACUCCUGCUAACUGCACCCUGUGCCUAGGCCGCAGGUAGUACCUGCGCGCUGCCAGACCACAGGUGCAGGAAGCAGGUGGCCACCGACCUUGUUUUCUCCUAUUUUGUCCGGACUUAGCUUUUAGGGUUUUCUCUUGCACUAUAAAUACCCCUUAUGUACUUUUGAGUAGAGGUAAGGCUUUUAACACACAUAAAUAUAUUUUAAUUUCAAGAUCCAUCUUUGAUCUUGGGAUUUCAUUGUAUUGACUUUGAUUGAUUAUUAGUUUACUAUUGUGGGUUUUUCUUCAUCUUAUCAUUGUGAUUUCAUAUUUGUUUUCCAACAUGAAUAUUAUUGAUUUAUUCACAAGUAUGAGAGGCUAAAACCCAUAUCUAGGGUUAUGCAAACCCUCGUUGACUGAUGAAGUAGGUAAGUGUGAUUGUUGAAUUAAACCAAUACCCAUGGCAUGCAUUGUAUUAUCGUCAUUAUAAUAGUUGUCUUAGCGGUUUCAAACAUUAGGAUCCCACCUAGAUUGCUACUUACUCCAAAAAAGAAUUAGUGACUAGGAAAAGAUAAUGACAACAGUAAUUUAGGAGUUAAUAGUCGAUCCGCAGUACAAAGGUAUAUCUGAAUGAUUAUUAUCUUUCAUCUAAUAACUUGAAACUCAAAAGGUGAGAUUUAACUGGGAUUAGGGUAAGGGUUAGUAAUGCGAUAUCCUGAGACUCAAAAGGUAAAGGGUGAAAUCCUCCUACUCAUCCAAAAAGCUGUAGGAGGUACAUAACUUAUCGAUUCAGUAUGUAAGGUAUUGGGUUGGUUCAAUAAUGCACGAUAAACCUAAGGAGUUGAGAUGCCAGAGGAAACACAAUCCUAGUGUCCACCCAUAACUGAUUUCAACCAGAGUUAAUAUUGCAACUUGCUCAAGACUAAUACAAACAAAUCCCCUUAUUUACUUUCCAGUACUGUAGACUACAACGGCUGAUAACUACAAACUACACAUUCCUUUGGGAUUCGACCCCAACCUUAGUUGGGUUACUAUAUCUUGAUAGUGACCAUACCAUUAUCCAAAAGGAGAUGUUGCUUGGAAGUCAUCAGUAUUGUCCCUUCAAGAGGCAAAACUGUAAGGCUACUGAUGUCUUCCAAAGUUAGGGUGAUUUCAAAAUCCACAAACUAAAAUAUCACGGUGAUUGGAUCCCAAAAUCCAACCUAUAUCUUCAUGAGCAUUGGCUCAAAUACCCAUGAGUGAGACCAAAGAGCCUAAGUGUUCUCUUACUUCAGCUCCAUGCACGGCCCGGAUAAUUUGCCACUAGUUUUGUAGGAUUUAGAGGGCUGAGACAAUCAUUUGGAUGUUUGGUAGGGUUUGGUUGGUAUCUAUCUGAAUGAAAGGAUAAAGGAUAUGAUAAGUCGUUUAUCUCAAAUAUAUUGUGUGUUUUGAUUUGGACCAUUCACAGCAAUCUUCACACAAAAAUAUGUCAACAGGUUUGCAACAUUUGAAAAAAAAGGUGGUUUCCUAAUUGCGAUGACAAUGCCUUAGACCGUCCCGCCUAAGGUGUGUGCAAUACGACCUAUUUCUAGAGUAGGAUUUUUCUCUAAACAUUUGGGAGUAGUACUGAAUAGCUGCGAGAAAAUGCACUAACCUAAUUGCACGACUCUGAAACUAAAGAAUCAAAAAAAGGUUCGAAUGAGUGUAAAACACCCUCUCAUGAACCACAGUGUGUGAAUUGUGUACGGUCAAAGACUCGAUAGGAAAAUACAAGUGAUAAAGCAGUAACAAGUAGUGUUUUCAAGAAAAUAGGGAACACAAGUUUGGACUUGGCUUGCGUCCUUUCACACAAAUCAAGCUAUAAGUACAUGUAAAGCAAAUAACGCAAUAAAAGCAUGAUAAUCCUAAACUAAGCAUGCUAAGAUAAAAACCUAAGUUCAACAUUCUCUAGCAGAGUCGCCAUGUUGUCGCGCGUUAUUUCGAACCAGUCAAAACAACACACAACAUAUAGUGUCUUGUUAUGACUCUCGGGUUUUUGAAAAUCAUUUUUAGAGUCGCCACCUAACUUUUUAGGAAAAUUAGGAAAAAUCAUUUUUUAUGUAAAACUCUGUUUAGGUCUAUCGAAAAUAUUUUGAGAUUCUGAGUAAGGAUUUUGGUUACUCGAGAGGAAGGUGUUAGGCACUCAUUAGAAUCUAGCCGAAGAUAGUACUUUAACACAGUUUAGGAAAAAAUUACUGCUUCGUUAUUUGCUAAAAUAGUGAUGAGAAAUCCUUUAUUAUAUAUAUUUUUUUAUUAUUAUUUAAAGAAAGGAAACUUAAGGUAUAGUAAACGUGAUGCUACCAUGUACAAGACUGUAAUAUAAUUAUUGUAGAAAUAUACAUGUAUUUUAAAUAUGAAAAAGGGUGGUAAUAUAAUUUACACAUAUGUUAGAAAGUGCAAAGUCUUAUAAUUCUGUAAGGAAACUUAAAGAUAUGUGAAGUUAAGUAUAUAACUAAAAUUAUUAUAGAGUAAAUAAAGGUAUUCUUAUGACAUGAGAAUUUAUUUACGAAAAGUAUGUUUAAGAGUAAGUGAAAAAUAUGUGAAAGAUUUUGAUUAUAUUUGUUAGCCAAGAGUCAAAAUAGCACACAUUAUUUAAUUGAAGAUUAAAAAUAGUUAGAUGAGAACUAUUGAAAUUUUACCAAAAUUUUGUUAUCAUAAAAUAGUAGUUGUAGGUUACGUCAAAAUAUUUUCUCUAGGCUUUAUGAUUAGAGUCACAGUAGAGUUUAAAUAACAAUAGCACAUCUUAGUUGAGACUUUGCUGGUGGCUGUUUUAUAAGUACAACUUCUCAUGCCAUGUUUAUCCUACUAUGUUGCUCGGACUCAUCAAAAGCAUAAGAAUGUGCCAGAUUCUUUAAAAGUUGUGCAUUUUUAUAAAUAUAUUGGAAUUAGGUAAAAAAUAAGUAAUAAAUAAAUGUAAUAACAUGUGAAGGAGUUGUUUAAAUCAUAAUAAUAAUAAUAAUAAUAAUAAUAAUAAUAAUAAUAAUAAUGGUAUAAAUAAUAAUAAUGAUGAUAAUAAUAGUAACGUUGGUAAUAAUAAUGAGCAAUAAUAAUGAUGAAAAUAAUUAUUAUAGUAGUAUCGAAAAUAAUAUACUUUGUACGUAGUAGCGGAUGAACGUAUAUAUCUCGCAUUUCUAAUCCUUUGAAAUCUGAAAACUCGGAUGGGAGUUGAAAAAUAAAAUAUAGUGUAAAGCGUCAAAAUUAUUUAUUAAAAAUAAGUUAAAAUUAGCAAAUGGACUCUUUUGAGAAAUCUAAUUUUUAGAGAAAUUGUUCUCCCGCGAAUUAGUAUUUAAAGUUUUAUUUGUUAUAUUUAGAAAAACAUGGAGAUUACUACGUCCAUUUUAUUAACAAAUCAUUCUGUAAGGUAAAAAUCAACUAGAACACUUGGCCUAAUCUUAAGAAAAAUUUGCUGGAAAAUCCCCUUCACUAAUUAAUCAAGAGAAAACAUGAUAACGCUACCCUAUUUUAAAAGAUAGGCACAUAACAAAGCAAUUAUAAAGCAAUAAACUAAUAAAGCUAUCUUAGACAAACUCAAUAACAAAAUAGAGUUAGUUAUCAUUCUAAAGCAAAAGCGUAACAUAAUAUGAAUAAAUUAAAGGAAAAAGCGGCUAAGAAAUACUAGACUCCAUUUUGGAGUUUGAACUUCUAAUUUUGCGAUUCCGGGACUCUGCGAUCCUAUAAUGGUUGAUCCGAUGCAUGGAUAAAGACGAGUUUCGAAUGAAACUCCAACUCCCGAAUUCACAUGAAAUAAAGAAAAUAAUAAGGAUUAGUAACAAAUUGAAAAUGACGAAAUAAUGUGUACUAUCAACUAAGAAAACAUGGCAAUCAAGAGUACGUUUCUGAAAAGAAUUAAAUAAAAGAUUAAGCUAAGCUAGUAAUCUAGUACUUCUACAAUUAUUUCUCGGGACAAAUGACCCAAAAUAGUUUGGUAAAGUUUAUCUAAACUCAAUAGAGAUGAACAUCUGCGGAUCAACAACCAUAGCUAAUUUAAACAUGUUUAACAGCCAAGGUCACUGGGAAACAAUUUCGAGACAACUUAAUUAGUGAGAACUUUGGCAUGAAAACACAUAAUCAAUCGUUUAUAUAUAAAAGAGAAGAGCUCAUUUCUUCAAAACGCCUAUAAACACCCCCAAAAAUUAGAUUCUUAAUCAUUACAAAAUACACCCCGCACCCCCCAUUAUUAAAAUUGAACGAUUUCAACAAAGCUAUACUCAUGUUGGCAACUAAAAAAACUGCAUGAUAUUAAACAAACUUUAUCCAAUGUUUGGAAUGGAAAGUGACUUCAUUACACUGACCUAAGCAUACAAAUGCACGUAAAACUUCCUUUUACUUUAAAUAAUAAUGCAUACGUUGCCAAUUCCGAAUUACUAAAAACUAUUAUUUUAAUAAGACGUGGAAUGUAGCAGUGUCUAAUUUGUAUAAAAAAAACAUGUACAAUAUAAAAAUUUAAGAAAACUUGUGAUUAGAUAACAAGGGUUAAAAGAAACUACUCUUGCAAAAGGGUCAACACAGAGACAGCGAGAAAGAGCAUCCCCUUUAUUCUUAAAAUAUGUUAUGCCUAACACCGAAAAAUGGCGAGAAACAAAAAUGACAAGAAUUCUUUUAAGGGAGUUUUCAAAUUAGAAAAACGAACACAACAGAGAGCUAUUUUCAAAUCAAACUUUUAACAUUUCGCACAAAUGGAGAGUUCUUUUCAUAUCUUGUGCAACUUAAGCUUAAAACGACCACACAUUGAAACAGGUUGGGAUGAAAAUCAUAUUUUCUGAACUCGGCUCGUGAUGACCAAACAUCAGUUCAUCAUUACGGCUUGAAAUUAGAAUCAUAUAUUUACGAAAUUAACAUGGCCAAGAGGAGGAGACAGAUGCGAAAGGGCUGAUUUUUCAUCCCUCAUAGAUAUUAUGAACAACUAUAUCAUAAUCCAAAUAGGAAACCAAGGAAAUCAAAUAUUUACUCAUAAAUUGAUUUUCCAGAUUUAAAGGCAAUAUAAUUGAAUCAAAAUCACAUGUAAACUCACUUUUUAGAACCAACAACAACAUACCCAGUGUAUUCCCACCUAGUGGGGACUGGGGAAGGUAGAAUGUACGCAGACCAUACCACUACCUCAAGAGAAGUAGAGAGGUUGUUUUCGAUAGACCCCCAGCUUAGGACCAAUAAUAGUAUAAUAAAUACAAAAAGUAAGCGGAUACAAACUAGUAUGGUACACAAAAUAAACUAACAGUAUAACAAACACAAAAGAUAAGUGCAUAGUAAACUAGUACGGGAUGCAAAAAAGCCAACACCACUAACCCCAAAAACUACAGCCCCAUCACUACGAACCAGAAACUCCAGACCCAAAGGAGCACUCCCCUAUUACUACCACCGCGCUCCCACCCCCUAACCCUCUACCCUAAUCCGCGUCCUCCACACCUUCCUAUCAAGGGUCAUGUCCUCUGUAAGCUAUAAUUGCUCCAUAUCAUGCCUAAUGACCUUCCUCCAAUAUUUUUUCAAUCUACCUCUAGCCCGCCUAAAACCAUCUAUAGCCAGAGUCUCACACCUCUGCACUAGAGCAUCAGGGCCCCUCCUCAUCAUAUGCCCGAACCAACGUAGCCUCACUUCUCGUAACUUAUCCUCCACCAAGGCAACUCCCACCUUCUCCCGAAUAAUCCCAUUCCUCACCCUAUCUUUCCUGGUAUGUCCACACAUCUAUCGCAACAUUCGCAUCUCCGCCACCUUCACCUUUUGGAUGUGGGAGUUCUUAACUGGCCAACACUCCGCUCCAUACAGCAUAGCCAUCCGGACUACCACUCUGUAGAACUUACCUUUAAGUUUCAGGGGCACUUUCUUAUAAAAAAGGACUCCCAAAGAGAGCCUCCACUUCAACCACCCUGCCCCAAUACGAUGCAUGAAAUCCUCGUCAAUCUCAGCAUUACCCUGAAUUAUAGACCCAAAACUCUCCCUCUUCUGGAUUGCCUGAGAGUCUAGCUUGACAACCACUCCAUCUUCUUGCGACAUAUUACUGAACUUACACUCCAAGUACUCCGUCUUUAUUCUACUUAACCGAAAACCUUUAGAUUCAAGCGUCUUGUCUCCAAACCUCCAACUUAUCAUUAACUUCACCCCGAGUCUCAUCGAUCAGAACCAUAUCAUCUGCAAAUAACAUACACCAAGGCACCUCUCCUUGAAUAUAUCGCGACAAAACAUCCAUCACCAAGGCAAAUAAAAAUGGGCUAAGAGUCGAUCCUUGGUGCAACCCUAUCAAAACUGUGAAGUGCUCUGAAUCUUUACCUACCAUCCUCACACGAGUUUUCGCACCAUCAUAUAUAUCCUGAAUCGACCUAAUGUACACCACGGGCACCCCUCUAUCCUCCAAGAACCUCCACAGAAUCUCCUUGGGAACUCUGUCAUAUGCCUUCUCUAGAUCAAUAAACACCAUGUGCAAGUCCUUCUUCCUUUCUCAAAAUUGCUCCAUUAAUCUCCUCACAGGGUGAAUGGCCUCAGUGGUCGAGCGACCAGGCAUGAAACCAAACUGAUUCUCAAAGAUAGUCACGAUCCUCCCCAUCCUCAACUCUACCACCCUUUUCCAAACCUUCAUAGUAUGACUCAACAACUUAAUACCUCUAUAGUUGUUACAACUCUGAAUGUCUCUCUUGUUCUUAUACACUGGAAUCAUCGUUCUCCACCUUCAUGCUUCAGGCAUCUUAGCAGCUCUAAAAAUAAUACUAAACAGCCUUGUCAACCACUCCAGACCUGCCCCACUAGUGCUCUUCCAAAAGUCUACUGGAAUCUCGUCUGGCCCCAUCGCCCUACCCUGCCGCAUCCUGCGAAUAGCUCCUUUGACCUCCUCAACCUCGAUACGCCUAUAAUAACUAUAAUCGCGACCCUCCUCAGAUAUCUCCAAGUCUCCCAACACAGAACUUUUGUCCCCCUCGUCAUUCAAAAUUUUAUGAAAAUAGGACUGCCACCUCUCCCUAAUAAGGGCAUCCUCAACCAACACUAUACCAUCCUCUCCUUUGAUGCACUUCACUUGGUCAAGGUCAUGAGCCCUCCUCUCUCUGGCCUUAUCCAUCCUAUACAACUUCUUAUCUCCGUCUUUCUCCUCUAAAGCCACAUACAAACUCUCAAAAGCUAUUGUCUUAGCCGCCGUAACCGCUAACUUAGCCUCUCUUCUAGCAACCUUAUACUCAUCCUUAUUCUUCUAUCUUUCCUCAUCAUUCUUGCUCCCAACCAACUUAGCAUAAGCCACUUUCUUAGACUUCACCUUUCUCUUGACCUCUUCAUUCCACCACCAGUCUCCUCGAUGUUUGCCAGAUCGACCUCUCAAGACACCCAAUACCUUACUAGCGGUCUCCCAAAUGCAACUAGAAGUCGUCUCCCUCAUAUUAUCCACCCCAUACUCUCCUAAGCCCCUCUAAUCUUCAACUUCUCUUCCAUCUCUAAAGCAUUAGCCAAAGUUAGGAUCCCCCACUUAAUCCUGGGUUGCGCCUCCCUACUUUUCUUUUUUUUGCCCUUAUUGAUAACCAAGUCCAUAACCAACAACCUAUGUUGAGUCGAGAGAUUCUCGCUAGGUAUGACUUUACAGUCUUUACAUAAUGCCCUAUCCCCUUUUCUAAGAAGCAAAAAGUUUAUCUGAGUCUUGGCCACUGAACUAUGAAACGUAAUAAGAUGAUCCUCCUUCUUUGAAAAGCUUGAAUUUUCUAUCCACAACCCAAAAGCCCUAGAAAAAUCCAUCAGAGAAGUUCCUCCUUCAUUCCACUCACCAAAACUGAAACUGCCAUGUACAUCAUCAUACCCUCUUGACAAAGACCCAAUAUGCCCAUUAAAAUACCCUCCCACAAAAAGCUUCUCAGUGCUCGGGAUGUUCCUGACCACCUCAUCUAAAACCUACAAGAAUUCCUUCUUCUCCUCUUCGUCCAAACCUACUUGCGGGGCAUAGGCACUAAUAACAUUUACCAUAGACCCUCCCAUGACUAACUUAAUAGACAUCAGUCUAUCACUAACUCUUUUUACCUCUACCACCUGCUCCCUAAGAUCUUUAUCUACUAAGAUACCUACCCCAUUUCUAUGUCGCACGCUACCCGAGUACCACAACGUAUAUCCAUCCACAUCUCUCACUUUAGUGCCUACCUAUUUAGUUUCCUGCACACACGCUACACUAACCCUCCUCUUUCUAAGAAUCUUCACCAGCUCUAUAGACUUAUCCUACAAAGUACCAAUGUUCCAAGACCUAACUCGCAACCUAGAAGCUCUCUUAUCCUGCCUAACCUUACUACCACUAGCCCCUAACCCCAAACCCGAUCCUAGACCUGACCCAAACCCAACCCCUCCAAAGCCCAGCCCAGACCCAACAAUUUCUGACUCCGACCCCGACCGAUGACAUGCCCUUAGUCUACCCUUACCAAUCAUAGUCACUAUGCAACAAAGAGAAGAAAAGAAAAAGGGAAAAAAGAUAACAAAGGGGGAUACACAAAUUUUGGUACACAAUAGUCAAUAGCAGGGACUAAUACUACCACACUUAAUGGAUAUGCUAGUAAAUCAAGUAACAGUAAUCAGACCAGGUAACACACUCCAACACUACUAAGCACAAUAAAUAGAUUCACAUGUACAACACUAUUACAAAGUAACCAGUCAAUAAGAAAUUUGACACCCACAACCAGAUAAUCAGCCAAGAAGCUACGAAAUAGGAAUCACAACAAGAAUAGUGCAGAACACUACCAGUAACAGCCCCUAAAAAUCAAGAAAGCUAUACACAACUAGAAAAGAUGGAUCGAGUGCACCUGAUCGAAGCUGGGUUGUGUCCUUAUACUUGGUUGAGUCGCUGGAUUCUGACAAUUUGCGGUAGAAAUUGGUCUCUGGAAUAGUGUCACCAAAAUAGUGUUAUCGGGAACAGCGUUGGCACUCCUUGAAGGUUGUUAUGGUGAUUAUUUGGAUGACAAAAGUAUUGAGGGAGGCGGCGGCGGCUUGUUGGAGUUACUAUUAUUGGAGGCGACGGAGGCUGGUGGCUGAGAUGCGGCAACGAUGGCGAGGACCAGCGACGGUAGCUGGAUCACUUCUUGUUGUGGUGGCGAUGGUGAGGAGGUGAAGCUUUGGACAGAGAUUCGAUAGAUGGAGCAUCGCCAGAGAGAGGAGGAAGGAGUAGAGGGUGGUGCUUGGUUUGUGGUUACUGACUAAUUUUGCCAGAAAUGAAAGGGACGGCGGCUGGUUCAACGAAGGCGGCGAUGGAGUUCUUCGAUCAAAAUAUGGUCAGAGAUGGCAGUGAUGGAUGUAUGCGAUGGAGGGGCGGUGCCGAUUUGCUGAUUGGGUGGGGGUGGCGGCGGCGAUAGGUUCGCCAGAGAGAGGAGAGAAGGCUAGUUUAGCGGCGGUCCUUGGACAACGAUGGUUUUGCGACUAACAAUAAAGAGAGAGAGAGAGACAAGGUGGGUGAGGGCCAGCCAUCGAAGAAGGCAGGCCGUUUUCCCUUUUGUCUUUAUAGAGAGAGGUUUAGAGAAAGGGGAGAGAGAAUCUAGAAAUUUCUAAAUUUCUAAAUCUAGAGGGGAGAGAGAAUCUAAUUGUGUCAAAACAUUAAAUGAAUUUAUUUUUUUCUUAGAGUUAACAACAAACCCUUAAAUUUAAUUGAACAAAAGUGACUUAUUCAUAUACUUACAGACCCGCGUAUACACAAAAUAAACUUUUAUAUCCAAGUCAUGCGCAUUGAUGAAAUUCUCGAAGGACCACAACAACCAAAUAAGAUAAACACGUGUAUAAAUUUAUGUAUUCAACACCAAAUGAUUUUUUAGAUUCGCAAACCACAACUUUUACUUGUAAGUCCAAGAUAGCAAUAACAACAUAGCUCAAAAUCAAGAUAAAUCUUAUAUUCAACAAAAUUGAAAAUAGAUGAAGAAAAGCAAGGCAAAAACAAAAUGAGAAGGGGGUCGGUUCGCACCUUCUUUGGUGCAGCAAACGAGGGUUCCAGUGCAAGGACUCUCCAGCUACCAGCUCAAACUCACAACGAGGAAAAUAAAUAAAACAACAGAGGAAAAUAAGAAAUUGACUUUGAUAACUUGAGUAUUUUUUAAUAUCUUUGGGUCUAUCUUUUUAACGUUUUCCUGUUCCACUUCUCUUCCUUCUUUAAACAAACUUUAUUUUUUUCUCUCCUUAUUCCACCGAUUUUGAAACCCUUUUUUGUUUUUUUUCUUCCUUUUUCAUGGAUUAUUUUGCAUCCUUUUUUUCUCACUCUUUUCUCAAUUUCAAGAUCUUUCUCGCCUCUUUUCCACCUUUCUUUUUUCUUUUCAAAACCUGUCCCUGAUGGGGAUGGCAAUACCCAUAUUUAUAGGUGCAAAUCUAGACUUGAAAGUCCAAAUUUGAAACCUUAGAAUUGAAUAAAAUGAAAAUAAAGGGUAAAAAUUUAUAAUUCUGAGACGAAUUCCUCAGAAUAUUAGCUUUUUUAGGCCAUUACUAGCGAAUAUGAAAUUGAGAAUAUAUUGUAAGACCAUUUUGGGUCUGUUUUUUCCUGGUUUCUUUGGUUUCAUGGGUUGGGUGAUGAGAAAAAUGGGAGAAUCUUGACAGGUGGGGUGCAGGUGGUGGCCAGCUAUGGUGGCAGCUAAGGUUAUGGCAUUUUUCGAUUCAAGGGGUGGUAGAUGAGGGGUGAGGGAGAGAGGAAGAGAGAGGGUCGGUGGUUUGAGUUGAUUUUAGGAUAUUGAUGGAGAUAGAAUACUGUUUUUUUAGGGAAAGUACUAUAUGCGUGUUCUAACUUUUUGGUGAGUGGGAGGAGCACUUAUCGUGCUGACUUGUUGGACUAAAAUGUGGAUUCUCAGAUCGUUUGAUCGGACGG
rnacentral:lncRNA from 1 species